UGAGACAACCCGAACAUGUGUUACGGCCAUGUGAAUCCCUCAAUUGUUUUUUCCUUAAAUAGUUUAAAUUUACUCAAACUGUAAAUUUCAAAAGUUAAACAGUCAUCUGUUGAAUAUCAAAUUGGUCACUUGAAUGUUUCAUUUUUUUUAAGAAAAAAAAACUUGGUGAUAAGUUAAUGACCUAUAAGCUUAUGUCCAUGGUUUUGUCAAUACUGCGUGGGAAAAUGAUGUGGCGUAUGUUCGAACCGCGUUCAACUGGUGAAUGCAAAAUUGAAAUCGUUCGGAAUGAACAGCAGCUAGUAGUUGUAAUCUUGUUCUAAGUGGAACUCCGAAUUGGUUAGUUUUUCAGCAAUUAAAACUAGCAUGGCACUCGAUAAGUGACCAACAAAUACAUCGAAUCGAUGAUGUAUCCAGCUCAUGGAUUUUUCGAAGGCAGAUCCCCCACCGAUUUCUUCGGUGACCUGUACUACUAUCCGGAAGAGGAAAACCGGUCGCCGAGAUUCAAUUUCAUUUUUCCAAUCACGGAUCCGGAUACUUUGGAAGAUCUCGAAUAUGCUGUGCGGCAUGACCAGAAGACACGGAUCAAAUACAUCAAUUUUCUACGUCGCAUCAAGUCGCGAGAUGAACAGCUGUCCGGUGGAAAUGUUUUCAAACGGCUCUGCAGCGAUACUGCCAUAUUUGCUCAUUUCUGUUUCAGCACGCCCAAAUUCACGGGCGACGGAAGAAGGAGACGGGCGCUGAAGGAUUUCGUGAUAUUUGGCGUUUGUAUGCUACAAGCCUGGUCCGACCACAAGGACAUCGACCAGCGAAGUCUCAGCUCGAUUAUGAAACGAGUGUUCAAACGAAUCAGCGUUCGAAACUAUGUUCGCCUUGGACGGAACCAGAAAACGGAUGUCUAUCGAAUGGCGCCAUCAUGAUUCAUCAGAAAGCAGCAAAGCUCAUAUUAACAGUUUUGCAGAAUUUUAGUAAAACAAAGAGAAAUAAUAAAAACUAAUAAACUGAGAUACUUUUCCUCUCGAAUGCGUGUUUUCGAUUGUGUUGACAUUAUCGUAGAAAGUUUUUUUUAAUAAUCUUUUCUUAUGAACAUUGUAGGUCGGCAUGCACGGAAGACUUAUAAAAAUUUGAAGAAAGCACCAAAUCUCCAAAUUCAACUGGUCCCGGUGUUCAACGCUCGCUGUAAGAAUUGGAUUCCCUUGAAAACCAGCACCCAGCUGUCCAUCUUGAGCAAAAGCCGAAGCGUCGGUGUGGAUAGAUUCGUAUUUCCGCUGCAAAACCCGGAAGAAAUAGAGGCUCUGGAAAUGGCCGUUCGAGAGAAUCCGCGCACGUGGAAUCAGUAUGUUGCUUACCUGCGUGACAAAAAAACCGCCGCAAUGGACAUCCCGAGUGUGAUGAAAUUGCUCUUCUUGGAUGAAGCUCUGGAAGGGUACAAUUUCAACGGUCUGCAAGGUCCCUUUCGGCAGAAGCGACCCCUGAAAAUGUAUGCCAUCUUCGUCGACUGUAUGUGGGAAGCCUGGCGAGAGCAAUUGGACGAUCGGGCACAAUUACAUAAAGGCAUUAAUGCUGCCAUUGCCACAUCGAAAAGUCGUGUUCGGGUCAAACGCUGCCGUGAAAAUCAACGACGGCGGGCAUGUUUGCUAGAAGAUCAGAGGAAGAAUUUUUGAUCCAUCUUGUUAUAAUGUUCGAGGUUUUCCUUUCCGGUUGAUCGAUACAAAAAUCUGAUGAUGAAUUGGUUAUUGAAAUAUAACUCUCCGGAGUUCCUACCACGUAAUCGAGUACAACAUCUGACAAAUCCAAUAAAAUGUUUUAUAGAAAACAUAGAAAACCAUUUCAUGUUUCGCUCCCAUGCACAUUUCGUUCUGUAAAAAACCUAUUCCACUAACCAUGUCUUUUUUGGUUUCAGUUUUCAAACGGAUACAGUUGUUCAAACAAAGCGCCCAACAGGGUGUAGACAAUUUUAUGUUUCCUAUACCAGACUGUGAUACCAUCGAGCGGUUAGAGGCCUCCGUCAGGAUGUUUCCCAUCAUCAGAAAGCAAUACAUCGAGCACCUUAGGCGAGUUAAAGAUCAAACCAAGGACGUGGCCAAAACAUUUCCGGUGCUAUUUUCCGACGCCGCCCUCGAGAUGUACAACUACAAUGGGACAGGUCGGAAGGAACGCCGACCGAUGAAGGAUUACCAGAUCUUCCAUGAUUGCAUGCUAGAUGUUUUUUCUUCUUUUUUCCUUCCAUCCCGCUUCUCAGAAGCAUGGACUGACGACGGUGUCAACGAAGCGGUCCUGCAGGAAAACAUCAACAUCGUCGUGAAGCGAGCCGAUGGCCGAAAACGGGCGAAACUGUUCAACUUUCGUCGGCGAAUAUUUCAGAACGUUGGCACAAUUUUCUCCAACUUUCCCGAUAUACAGUCCUAGGGUGCAACCAGGUUGCAAUAAACUGACUCAUUCCCCCAGUGGAUUCCUAGUUUUUAAACGAAGCAAUAUAUUUAACAUUUUAGUGUAUUUUUAUUUCGAUAGCACACUCGAAGUAAUCAGUAUAUUUAUUUAUUUUAACGUAACACUAUAGAAAACUGUGUUUUACUUGUUGUGAAUAGAUCGAAAAUCUGUUUUAGGGGAGGGAGAAACUAACUCCAGCACACUCCCAAUCCAGUACCACAACUCUAACAUUUUUCUUUCAUUUUAGCUACCAUCCGUGUCAUCAGUGAGGAUAAACUGUUGGAUAGGCAAAACGACACCACGGGGGGGUCGGACAAUGCACUGCGUCCUCGGCAGCAGCAAGGCCCGGUAAACAUAGCCG